rnacentral:lncRNA from 1 species
GGAAAGUUAUCCCGAAUUUGGUAGAAAGUCAAUGCUGGGGGCCUAGGUAUGUCCUCUGAUUGGUGAGAUCCUCCGGCAGUUGGAUGUGAAGCUAUUGAAAGGCUUAGUGGAACAGGUGGCUGCUCAUAACCUUGGUCAGCCCUGAAUCAGUCAAAUCUCUGCUAUCAGGCUCGAGGGGCCUCCCAUUGCCUGCCAUUGGUCAAAAGGAGGUACUUCUGGUUGAGAUCUUACGUCUCUCUCAGUGUGUGGCUUCUGCUGUCCCCUGGAAAAAUGACCCCCAGGUCCCAAGACAUCCUGUCCUUUCCAACAAUAAACUCUAACUCUGAAGGAUAA